rnacentral:rRNA from 1 species
UCAAAGCUAGCCUAUAUACUAAUUUAACUAGACCUUAUAAAUCUAAUUUAUAUUAUAAUUUUUAACCAAAACAUUCUCAACCUUUCAGUAUGGGUGACAGAACAAUAAACCCAGCGCAAUAGCUUAUGUACCGCAAGGGAACGCUGAAAAAGAAAUGAAAUAAAUCAUUAAAGUACUAAAAAGCAGAGAUUAUUCCUCGUACCUUUUGCAUCAUGAUUUAGCUAGAAAAAUUAGGCAAAAAGACCUUAAGUCUACCUUCCCGAAACUAAACGAGCUACUCCGAAGCAGCAUUAUAGAGCUAACCCGUCUCUGUGGCAAAAGAGUGGGAAGACUUCCGAGUAGCGGUGAAAAGCCUACCGAGUUUAGUGAUAGCUGGUUACCCAAGAAAAGAACUUUAGUUCUGCAUUAAUUUUUUAUCAUCUAGACAAGACUUACUCGUCAAAGAAAUUUAUAAGAAUUAAUAGUUAUUUAGAAGAGGUACAACCCUUCUAAACCAAGACACAACUUUUUAAGGUGGGAAAUGAUCAUAAUUAUUAAGGUUACCAUCUCAGUAGGCCUAAAAGCAGCCACCUGUUAAGUAAGCGUCACAGCUCUAAUUUAAUAAUUAAACCUCUAAUUUAGAUAUUCAUUCACAACCCCCUUUAUUUUAUUGGGUUAUUUUAUAUUUAUAUAAAAGAACUUAUGCUAAAAUGAGUAAUAAAGAGAAUAAAUCUCUCCCGACACAAGUGUACGUCAGAAAGAAUUAAAUCACUGAUAAUUAAACGGCCCCAAACUGAGGUCAUUAUAUUAUUUAAUCAUCAACUAGAAAAUCCUAUUCCUCUACCCGUUAUCCCUACACAGGAAUGUCAUCAGGAAAGA